rnacentral:rRNA from 1 species
UAGUAACGGCGAGUGAAGCGGCAACAGCUCAAAUUUGAAAUCUGGCCUUCUGGUCCGAGUUGUAAUUUGUAGAGGAUGAUUUUGGUUAGGUACCUUCCGAGUUCCUUGGAACAGGACGCCUUAGAGGGUGAGAGCCCCGUACGGUUGGAUGCCGAGCCUUUGUAAAUCUCCUUCGACGAGUCGAGUAGUUUGGGAAUGCUGCUCUAAAUGGGAGGUAAAUUUCUUCUAAAGCUAAAUACCGGCCAGAGACCGAUAGCGCACAAGUAGAGUGAUCGAAAGAUGAAAAGCACUUUGAAAAGAGGGUUAAAUAGUACGUGAAAUUGUUGAAAGGGAAGGAUUUAUGACCAGACCUUUGCCUUGCGGAUCAUCCGGUGUUCUCACCGGUGCACUUCGCUUGGUUGAGGCCAGCAUCAGUUUUGGCGGCGGGAUAAAGACUUCAGGAACGUGACUCCCCCGGGAGUGUUAUAGCCUGCUGUGUAAUACCGCCGCUGGGACUGAGGACCGCGCUUCGGCUAGGAUGCUGGCAUAAUGGUCAUCAAUCACCCGUCUUGAAACACGGACCAAGGAGUCGAACAUUUAUGCGAGUUUUUGGGUGUUAAACCCUCAAGCGUAAUGAAAGUGAACGGAGGUGAGAGCCCUUACGGGUGCAUCAUCGACCGAUCCUGAUGUCUUCGGAUGGAUUUGAGUAAGAGCAUAACUGUUCGGACCCGAAAGAUGGUGAACUAUGCGUGGAUAGGGUGAAGCCAGAGGAAACUCUGGUGGAGGCUCGCAGCGGUUCUGACGUGCAAAUCGAUCGUCAAUCU